AAGUGGUCGAUUCUUUUGAGAACAUCUUUAAGCUUCGUCCUGUUUUUUAUCUCAUUUGACGUGAUUUUUGUCAGUUAGCCUUACACCCAACAUACUUCUUUCCAUCGCCCUCUGACACUUAGCUAGCUUUUCUCUGUGAUUUAGUGUCAGAGACCAAGUUUCACUUCUGUAUGUGAUACAUGGGAGGAUAGAUGUACUGUAGGUUCUUCUCUUAAUGGUCAUACUUAUCUAUAGGGGCAAUUAUCUGACCCAAAUAUGUAUACUCUUGUACAUACUCAAGCUUAUUUACAUACAGUACUUUUUUGCUUUUACUGGCUAUAGACUGUAGCCAGUAAAAGCAAAAAAGUAGGCCUUUUGUACCAUGUACCAUUAUUUUUUUUCUUUUACUGGUUACAGGUACCAUGUACCAUUAUUUGUAUUUGCAUUAUAAUUCACAUACAAAUGGUAAAUGAUAUGCACUAAAAAUUUGACAUAAAAAAUUGGUCCCAUUUAAUUUUCAUGAAAAUCAGUUGAGUAAUUUUGUGUUACUGAAACAACUACUCUACUAUCCGAAGCAAGACCAAGGUCAGAGAUGUGGCAGUAACAAUUAAGAAGCUUAAGUGGAAGUGGACAGGACACUUCAUGCGGGAUAAAAGGGAUAAGUGGACCAGGGAUGUGACAGAGUGGUAUCCUAGGAUAGGAAAAAGGAAAAGAGGUCGCUCCUGUCAAAGAUGGGAGGAUGACCUCAGACAGACAGCAGGAGACACAUGGAGAAGGAAAGCAAGAGAUAGAGAUCUAUGGAAUUGUCUGGAGGAGGCCUAUGCCCGAGGGCAAGCUGAAGAUAAGAACCUGUGUCAAUGAUAUGUUGCAAUAAUAUUUUGUUUAUAAAAUUCAGUAAUUAAAGGCUUUUAUUAUUA